GAGAUUUGCACUAGGUGGGUCUUCAGGGAAGCCAUCUCUGCCUAAGGAACAUGUGGGCUGAGACCAGAUUCUCAAGAGGUACGACUGCCUAAAUUCAGUAAUUCUCUCUAAAAGAGAUGAAAACACUGAACUUAAAAAGGAAGCUGAUAAUGUCUACAUGUCUGCUCUGUGCCAGAUACUCUGUGUCUCGGGCCAUUUCUCUCCACUAUUUUAUCUCCUCCUCUACCCAUCACUUCUAGGUAGGUGGCCUGCUUCCCAAUUUUUACAGAUUAAGAACCAGGUUCCCAAAGUUUCAGUGGGCUGACUGCAUCUCCUGGUUAGUAAGAGGCAGACCAUGGAGUCAAACCUGGAUCCACAUCUCUCAGGAGCCAGUAACAGAAGACAGGUAUGCUUGAGGGGCCCCUGCUCCAGCACUGGAAGAGAGGCUACCAAGAGGCACCCCCACCUGCUGUAAAGAAAGGAUGGAUGCACCCAGGUGACACUCAGGCCUUCCCCACAUGGUGAAAAGACGACCACCAGCAGAACCAGGUGUCUACCCUACCAGGGUUGCAACUAAAGCAGGAAGAAAAUGCCACCUUUCCCAGAGUUCCAACCAAGUCCCAAGACUGACCCUCCUGCAUCGUGUGUCCAGCCCUGAGCCAUUCCCCCUGGCCAGACCUGAGUCAUGUGUCUUCUCUCUGGAGCUGGGUGGAGUCACCUCCAUAAACUUUGUGGCCUUGAAUAGGGGAGUGGUAGUAUCCCAAUGCAAAAUCAAAGUGCUGUCAGCAGAAGAAGUGGACAUGGAAGCUGGGCUGACAAGCACAACAGAUGUCCACAGCCAUCUGCAUCCUCUCUUUUCUCUUCCUUUUUCUCAUCCAGAAUAGUAAGACAUGAGGUUGGAAAUGUCUCCCCCAUGAGAAACAUCUUUAGCUCUGAAGGAUUGGGCAUGGCCAGAGAAGAACCAGAUUGAGGAAAAAAAAGUGAGUCACCUAAAAUUGGCACUGACCCUAAGUUUGUAGAGAGGAGUGAAAGGGGGUCUUAUUUGUUCAUUUUCUCUGAAAUCCCCAGUUCUGUUCCACCUUGAGGCCUUUCUCACUGACUGUUCAUUGCCAGCUGGACUUUGCAGACAUCAGAACAUUUUGCUUAAUUAUACGUCUGUAUUUAAAAAAAUAAAUAGUGGUGCUUAUCACUCUGCCUGCACAUGGGGACCUGGAUGAGCGCGCUGACGCAAAGCAGUUUCUAAGCAACUUGUGGAGCUGGUGCCUAAUGCAACAGCCACAAGAUUUGGAGGAAAAAUAAAAUAAAGCCCAUGGAAACCCAACAUGGAACCAGUUGUGACCGGUUCAUAAAGGCUGCACAGGGUCCUUUGGGAGGUUAAUUCUAUCUCAGGCUGAUGGAAAGGGGCUUGAUUCUGGAGAGCUGGGACCUCUCUGGUGUGGGAUGCUGGAUAGGUGGGCUUCUGGAGGAUUCCAAUAAGUGCUCUGCCCCAGGGAGACUUGGUGCUGAUAACAUGUGAUAACACAAAUGCUGGAUAUUCAGAACUAAGAGAAGCUCCGAGCACUGCCAACGAGGCCAGGGAAGAAGGUGAGGGGAGGAGGAGGGGCAGGGCCAGGUUUCCUCGUG
ensembl:lncRNA